rnacentral:rRNA from 1 species
AACGACUCUCGGCAACGGAUAUCUCGGCUCACGCAUCGAUGAAGAACGUAGCAAAAUGCGAUACUUGGUGUGAAUUGCAGAAUCCCGUGAACCAUCGAGUUUUUGAACGCAAGUUGCGCCCAAGCCAUUCGGCCGAGGGCACGUCUGCCUGGGCGUCACGC